GUUCAUUAUGAGUUGCUUAGUGGUAAAAAAAAAAAUUGAAUUUAAUGUAGUAUUUUUUUAUUUUUAUAAGGUUUUAAAUAUUAUGGCCUGAUUAUUGUAAAAAUUACAAUAAAGCAAUACUAUUAACCAAACUCCACUCAGAAUUGUUUUUUGUUAGCAAUGGUUAAUCAUUACUUAAAAAUAUAUAUUAAAGACAAAUAUAUGAUUUGUCAUUUGUUACAUAUUAUACCUAGAUAUUCCAUGUACUUAUUCAUAGUUAUUAUAUUUAAAAACUAUUUGUCUUAUAUACUGUAAAUUGUUUAAAAUUAUUAAAAUGGUAUAAAAUUUAGGUUAUUAUUUUUUAUUUUUUUUAGUUAUCUCAUCAAAUAUUCAUAUAAAAGAGAUGUAGAUAUACUUUGAACAGUGGGUGAGUUACUAUAGAUUUGAAGUUAAAUAGGUAAGAAAGGUAGAGGGGAAAUUUAAUGUUUAUAUGUAUUAUGUACGCAAAGAUUAACCAUUGCUAAUGAGAAACAAUUCUGAGUGAAAUUCAGUUAAUAAUGUUACUUUGUCAACAAUUUGUCAUAUUAUUAUAAACUAAUUAACAUAUACAGUAUUUAUUUUAUUUUGUAAUAUUUAUUAAAUAUUGUACCAUUUUACCGGUUUUUCCCCAUUUAUUAUGAAAAAAAGCGAAAAUGUUAGUCUGCUCCAGAGACCCGAAAGUAAAAGCUGAUGUGUACAUCGGUAGUCAAAAAUUGGAGCAAGUAGAGGAAAUGGUAUACCUAGGGAGAAAAAUCACAUCUGAUGGUAAGAGCGUCCGAGAGCUAAAACAACGCAUAGUAUUAGCAAAAACUACCUUUAGUAAAACAUAAAAGUUGCUCACUUCAAAAGUUACAUCUCAAUAUCAAGAAGAAAUUUAUAAAAACAUAUAUAUGGAUGUGACAUUUGGGUAGGAAGUGAUGCUGAAAAGAAAAAACUAGAAGCCUUCGAGAUGUGGUGUUGGAGGCGUAUGGAAAGGAUAAGUUGAAUAGAGUAAAAAACAAAUGAAGAAGUACUUAGAACUCAUAGAUGCGAUUAGAGCAAGACGCUGGAAAUUGGUUGGGCAUGCCUUGAGACACCCAGAAAAGUUGCAUAAUAUAAUAUUAGAGGGUAUGAUAGAAGGAAAGAAAACUGCAGGACGUCUUCAAAACUUAUAUAGGACAAAUUAAAUGUGAUGCAAGAGUCGAAACCUUUGAGGAACUUAUAGAAAAGGUGAGUAAUUGGUUGGAAUGAAGAAUUGGAGUUGUAAACCAACCUUCGGAUUGAAAAAAAAAAAAAAUCUAAACAUGUACAAUAAAACUUUGCUCUGAAUCGUUUUUUGUAACUAAUAGUUUAUUGUUCACAGAUAUAAAUUAAACAACUAUGUAUCCUAUCUUUUUAACUUCUCACCAAAAACAGUGGCCCACUCAUACCCAGUAUCAUCUUUUUUUUUAAGUUUGUCAACUUCAUUUUCGACAUUAUAUCAUCAUUAAAUAUAUUUUUUUUUACAUACAGUAAUACAAUAUAGUUAUGUGAUUACAUUUUUAGUUUUUUUUCUCAAGAUGUAAUUCAAACCAUUAUGUAAAUUGAUUUCAUUUUUAACUAGUUACUGAAACAAAUUUGUAACAUCUUCAAUAUUCUAUUAUUUAAUUGAUUAAUGUUUAUAUACUCAAAAUAUGAAAUAUUAAAUCUUUUACCUCAUGAUCUGAACAAUUAGUUUUAUUAUAAUAUUGUAUGCUGUAUAAGCUCAUACUGCAUAUUAAUCA